AAGCCCCCAUAUGGCUCUGAAGAUGGAAAUAUAAACAUGGCUCUUAGAAGGAGAAGAGAUAAAAAAAUGAAAAUGCUAACAUUUUAAUUUCCUGGGAGGUUAAGGGGUUAAGCAGCAGUCAUCCUUUGUUUGCCACAACAAAGGAAGCAGAAACUAGAAACUCCAUAUUACUUAUUCUUGUGGCAAUCUGUGAAACAACACUCGGAGAAGCAUAUUCAGGGAAGUUUUCUCCUGACUUGACAGACAGGCUGGCACCGAUUUGACCAAAGGCCCUUGUUCAGCUCUGUCUUUGCAAGAAGAAAUAAAUCUUGGAGUAGAAAUGCAGAGAAACUACCCUUGCAGCAGGACCGCAAAUUGAAGCAGCACUAAAGACUGGUAAUAACAGGCCUAAGGGACAAGAUAUGAGUUAGGUCCACCUCUCUGACCCAGGAGAGUAGGAUGUACUUGGAACUGCUCCUAAAUUCAUUGGACAGGAGUUUACAUGUGACUAAAUCUGCUGUUCAGGAUUACGUGAGACAUGAAAAACCAUUAAAUCUCUGCACGCUUAAACCCUCAAUGUAUGCUUUAGACUUGUGGAGUAAGGGAGAAAAUACAUCUAAUGCAGAAAAUACACUUUAUAAGACCAUACAAUACAUAAUGACAUACUUUUCUACCAGUAACCAAUUAUACCUCAGCCACCUAACUACUCUUUGAUGGGUAGCAGGUAGAGAUGCUGUACUGGGCCACCACAGAUAGAUAGCAUAAGAAAAAAAAAUAGAUUAAAAUAGAUAGACAGAUAGAUAGAUAAAAUGUAGCUCUGUAAAGCUAGACAAAUUCACUGAAAACUGCAGGAAAGACAGACAUGAUUUCUUUUCAACAACGGUGGUUAUAAAAAGAAUAGCAUUUAAUUUAAUACUUGAUUGAAACUCUUGUAAAAGUGAUAAGUAAUCCUUAAAUUCAUCUGAUGCUUUAUAAAAAAUGUAUAUGAAUAGUGGUGGAAAUAAAGGCAGU